UACGUAGGGGGCUAGCGUUAUCCGGAUUUACUGGGCGUAAAGGGUGCGUAGGCGGUCUUUCAAGUCAGGAGUUAAAGGCUACGGCUCAACCGUAGUAAGCUCCUGAUACUGUCUGACUUGAGUGCAGGAGAGGAAAGCGGAAUUCCCAGUGUAGCGGUGAAAUGCGUAGAUAUUGGGAGGAACACCAGUAGCGAAGGCGGCUUUCUGGACUGUAACUGACGCUGAGGCACGAAAGCGUGGGGAGCAAACAGGAUUAGAUACCCCCGUAGUCC
rnacentral:rRNA from 1 species